GUACACUCCUGCGGGAGGCAGCAGUGGGGAAUUUUGGACAAUGGGCGCAAGCCUGAUCCAGCCAUGCCGCGUGCGGGAAGAAGGCCUUCGGGUUGUAAACCGCUUUUGUCAGGGAAGAAAAGGUUCUGGCUAAUACCUGGGACUCAUGACGGUACCUGAAGAAUAAGCACCGGCUAACUACGUGCCAGCAGCCGCGGUAAUACGUAGGGUGCAAGCGUUAAUCGGAAUUACUGGGCGUAAAGCGUGCGCAGGCGGUUAUGCAAGACAGAGGUGAAAUCCCCGGGCUCAACCUGGGAACUGCCUUUGUGACUGCAUGGCUAGAGUACGGUAGAGGGGGAUGGAAUUCCGCGUGUAGCAGUGAAAUGCGUAGAUAUGCGGAGGAACACCGAUGGCGAAGGCAAUCCCCUGGACCUGUACUGACGCUCAUGCACGAAAGCGUGGGGAGCAAACAGGAUUAGAUACCCUGGUAGUCCCA
rnacentral:rRNA from 1 species